UAGGGAAUAUUGCGCAAUGGGCGAAAGCCUGACGCAGCGACGCCGCGUGAAGGAUGAAGUCCUUCGGGAUGUAAACUUCAAUAGUUAGGGAUGAAAUCUUGACAGUACCUAACGAAAGCACCGACUAACUACGUGCCAGCAGUCGCGGUAAUACGUAGGGUGCAAGCGUUAUCCGGAUUUAUUGGGCGUAAAGAGUUCGUAGGCGUUUUGAUAAGUUUUUGAUUAAAUCUUCAGGCUUAACUUGAAAAUUGUCAAAAAUACUGUCAGAAUAGAGGAUUUUCGAGGCAAGUGGAACUUACGGUGUAGGAGUGAUAUCCAUUGAUAUCGUAAGGAACACCAAUGGCGAAGGCAGCUUGCUAGAAAAUUUCUGACGCUGAGGGACGAAAGCGUGGGUAGCGAAUGGG
rnacentral:rRNA from 1 species